UAUCAAUAAGCGGAGGAAAAGAAACUAACAAGGAUUCCCCUAGUAACUGCGAGUGAAGCGGGAAAAGCUCAAAUUUAAAAUCUGGCGGUCUUUGGCUGUCCGAGUUGUAAUUUAGAGAAGCGUCUUCCGCGCUGGACCGUGCACAAGUCUCCUGGAAUGGAGCGUCAUAGAGGGUGAGAAUCCCGUCUUUGGCACGGAUGCCCGGUGCUUCUGUGAUGCGCUCUCGAAGAGUCGAGUUGUUUGGGAAUGCAGCUCAAAAUGGGUGGUGAACUCCAUCUAAAGCUAAAUAUUGGCGAGAGACCGAUAGCGAACAAGUACCGUGAGGGAAAGAUGAAAAGCACUUUGGAAAGAGAGUGAAACAGUACGUGAAAUUGUUGAAAGGGAAACGCUUGAAGUCAGUCGCGUUGACCGAGACUCAGCCUUGCCUUGGCUUGGUGUACUUCUCGGCUCGACGGGUCAGCGUCAAUUUUGCUCCUCGGAUAAUGGCAAGGGAAAGGUGGCACCUUUACGGGUGUGUUAUAGUCUCCUGUCGCAUGCGAGGGGUGGGAUUGAGGAACUCAGCGCGCACCUCGGUGUCGGGGCUUCUGCCCACGUUCACGCGCUUAGGAUGCUGGCGUAAUGGCUUUAAACGACCCGUCUUGAAA
rnacentral:rRNA from 1 species